CAGGGUCAACCGUGCUCUCUUUUUCACACACCUUUUAAUUACUCGCGUUAAAACUACAGCUUCUUUUGCCGGCCAGCGUGGAAUUAGGGUUUGUAAUAGAAUAGAUGAGCGGGCAAUUUGUACUUUUAUGGCAACGGAUGCCCAGAAAAAGACAUGAAUAAUCAAUUUAGGUUUUUAUCGCGAACAUACAUAGCCAUUUUGAUACGAACGAGAUAAUACAAUUAGUACAAACACAGUAGGAAAACAAAUAGUUUCAGGACUAAGUUGAUAAGGCCUGAAAAAGUCUGCAAGACAAGGAAAUUCUUGCCCAGAUUUCAAAAAUGGCGGAUGGUAACGGAUCGGCCAGUAAGUCUGCAGAGUCUGUGAAGCUUUUUGUAGGGCAAGUGCCCAAGCAUAUGACGGAAUCUCAGCUUCUGUCAAUAUUUCAGGAAGCGGGAAAUAUUCAGGAAGUCAGCAUUAUCAAGGACAAGGUCACCAAGACUUCCAGAGGAUGUUGCUUUGUAACAUGCCCAUCAAGGCAAGAAGCAGACAAGGCCAUUUCUUUGUUUCAUAAUAAACGAACAAUGCCUGGGGCAUCAAGUCCAAUGCAGGUGAAGUAUGCAGAUGGAGAAUUGGAAAGAAUUGAGCACAAGCUUUUUAUCGGAAUGCUUCCAAAGACAGUUUCAGAUGCAGAAGUAUCUAUGCUUUUUUCCAAGUUUGGAACUAUUAAAGAAUUGCAAAUUUUGCGUGGCCCUCAGCAAGCAAAUAAAGCUGGAUGUGCAUUCUUGAAAUUUGAGACAAGGGAUCAGGCUGUUGCUGCUCUAGAGGCUAUCAAUGGGAAGCACAAAAUGGAGGGCUCAACUCUACCACUUGUUGUUAAGUGGGCAGAUACUGAAAAGGAGAGACAAGCUCGAAGGGCUCAGAAAUCUCAGCCCCAGGCCCCUAACACACCUAGCACAGAUUCAGGACAGCAACCUUCGUUGUUUGGUGCAAUGCCUAUGGGAUACAUGCCUCCUGCUUCCUUUAAUGGCUACGGAUAUCAGGCACCAGGUACAUAUGGUCUUAUGCAAUAUCCAUUACCUCCAUUGUCAAAUCAACCUGUUUUGCACAGUAUGGUGGCAGCUGUUAAUUCUUCUAGCACGUUGUCUGGUGCCACCCCUGAUCUUGUUGCUGGUAUGGGACCAACAAACUUUGCUGCAAUGCAGUCAGCAGGCUACAUGAAUUCUGGAUUUCCUGGCAUGUCUGGUGUCCAGUACCCAAUGGGGUAUCAAGGUCCAAUGUUUGGCCAUAGUGCACUGCCUCUUGGACAUGGUUCUGUAGCACCAGCAUUGUUAAAUUCAAGUUCAGCAGCUGGGAAUGUGAAAACAAGCUCUGGGGCACAAGUUGAAGGCCCCCCUGGAGCAAAUUUGUUCAUUUAUCACAUUCCACAGGAGUUUGGUGAUCAUGAACUAUCUAAUGCCUUUUCAUCAUUUGGAAGAGUUAUAAGUGCCAAGGUUUUUGUUGACAAGGCUACUGGUGUUAGCAAAUGCUUUGGUUUUGUGAGUUAUGAUUCCUCUGCGGCUGCACAAUCUGCCAUCAAUGUGAUGAAUGGGUUCCAGUUGAGUGGAAAGAAGCUGAAGGUCCAACUUAAGCGAGAUAACAAACAGAGCAAGCCUUACUGAAUAGAUAUGCCUGACAUGCUUAGCGAAGAUUGGAUGGAUGGCACUGCUCGUAACAAAUUCAGAACUGUUGCAUUCAGCAGCUAGCAGUUACAUGCCCCAUUUUUGUGGGUAAAAAAAAUGGCUUGAUGUAAGAUAUUGAAAAGACCAAAUGAAGAUUGUGGAUGCUUAUAUAUGUGGCUCCAAUGCCGUCAUAUGAAAAAGAGCGAGCAAUGGAUGUGGUACUUUUUAUCUGCAAUUGACUCCUGACUAUUAAGUUUCUGGUCACCAACUAAUGAUCAAUGGAAGCAAAAAAAGCAGGUAAUUGGUCAAAAUAAUUGGUGCCUUUCUAGUUGAAUGCAUUUUACUUUCUGUACCUUUUCCACGCUAUUUAGGGAACUGAUGAUAAUCGAUUCACACUAGAUGUCAUUGAUGGGACAGUGAGCUGGUUGAUGUCAUACUUCACUGCAUAACCAUAUGUUCUGAUCUGUGGAUGCAAGAGCUAAUGUGCAACUGAAAACUACAAAAUUUCCCAUGAUUAGAAGAAUGACAAAGGCAAACAAUAAUUCCAAUGACAAAGGCAACUAAAAUAAGUUAAUAACUGAAAACUAUCAACUUUCCCAUGAUUAGAAGAAUACAAUGCUCAUCUUUCAUUCCUCGUUUGGAAUUCUUUUAAGUAACAUCAUUUCAUGCUCAACGUACCAUGCCAAGAUUCCUUCUAGGUUAUGAGAGGAAGCUAUAUGAUCAUUAUUCUCUGCAGUUUCUGCUCAUGUGCAUCUCUUCCGGGAGGAGCAUCAUUAAGCCCAUUUUGAUUAGGUAAGUCAUUUUUAAUCACCGCAAUGGCAGGCAAAAUAUAUGGCCUUGGUGUUUGUGGGAAUGCUCAAUAAAUCUUUCUGAAACUAAGGUUGGUUGGAAUUUCAUUUUUUUUUUGAUAAGUGAAAGGGUGUUGGCAAUAGGUCCCACGUCCUGUGAAAUUGACAUUCUGCAUUAGGGAAAAAUGGAAAACACAACCAAAUAGAAUAGUAAAAAGUUUAAAAACCUAAGCAAACAAAAACAGGGAAAAAUAAAAACACAACCAAACAAAAACAUAGUUUCACUGUCAAUAAAAAAAAGUACAGAUGACAAAUUUUAACAUGCACAAGCAAUGGCUUUUCAUUAACCGUCGGAGCAUAUACGUUCAGCUUGAUCCAAUUUCUAGGGAUCCAACUAUAUCUCCUUCCAGCUCUUCCCUUUUACUCUACAUGAUUUUAUUUUUAAUGACAAAAUAACAAAUUCUAAAAUAGAUUUUAAUCAUGACUUAUUCAUAUUUAAACUAUGGUUUAGUAAUCAUGAAAAUCCUGGAUUCCCCCCUUCAUUACAGGCACGGUUUAAAUAACUAGGAGAGGAUUUAUGCACAUAUGUGAACUGGGUCUCACACAGUUAAAUGCACAUUCAAUCAGUCGUGGGAAUGACCUCCCUACACUUCAAUUUUACAAUUAUAAAAGAUGACCAACACAUCUUUCAUCAAUAAACACCAAAUCUAUAUGCCAGGUCAUACAAUAGUUCAUACACUUCUUGUGUGAACAGGGACACACCGAACUGUUCAGAUCAUAACACAUUAUUGAAUUGUAAGAUUGGAUCUGACAUUGAGGUAGUGUCCCUUAGCAAUAUUAUGAUAUAUCUUAUAAAUAACAGAUUAUUCUGCCGCGAGAUCUAGAAUUCAUGAUCUCAUCUUUCACACACAUUUACCUUUUAGAGCCACUAACUUUUUCUUCACUUUCACAUGUCAGAAAGCCUGCUCUUUCUUAAGUUUACCAUCCAUUAUCACAUGUCCUUGUUGCUUAGGGUAGAAACAUAUAUACCUGUUCUUUGAUGUUUGUUUUGCAUUUUUUGGUGACAAUAGGCUUGUUUUUCACAACCAUUAUAGUUUUGUCUUUGAAUUGAUCAUUUCUCAUAGUGCAAACAUUCUCCUCAUCAAUCAAUGAGGGAUUAUGUUUCCAGGUUCCGACCAUCCUUUCUGUAAACACAAUUUAGGAGUAGCUAGCAUGGAUACUAUUCAACGAAAUUGGUGGAGUAACUUCAUCUGCUACUUUAGCUUGUAUUCCAGCUAACUAAUGCGUUGGACUAUUAUGUCACUGUCCUCCAUCUUUGGCCCAAACGUUUUUUGGCUUUGGAGUCAUUUUUGCACUUGUUGACUCAAAACCUAUGUUACCAAAUUGGCUGGAAAAUUGGACAUUUCCAGGUAUGAGUCAUACUGGCAUCUGGUACAGGUCAGAAUUGACUGGAAUUGGAUAGCGAUUUCUGUAGCAUUUUGAAAUCAUCCAGAAAUGUCUGAGGGCAAAAUGUGGUGAUGAUAGAACAUUUUCAUAGCAAUAACAGUGCCAGCAAAGUUUUCAAGGCAUUUUUUGGUGUCAAGUGUAGACCAGGAAAAAGUAAAAACAAAUGCACAUUCUUUUCUUAAGUGCAUCAGCAAGGUAAGUCCUCACAGUAACAGGAGUAGAGGCACAAACAGGGAAAGGACAGGAGGUGUGUUCAACAGCUGAUGAUGCAGCCAUCUAGCCUGUAGCAAACAACUGACUCAACUACGUACGCACAGCCAGCCAGCAAUAACCAGGUAUUCCAUAUUCAUCUGCUUGGUUUGCUUGCAAUUCAUGAAGUUGGCUGUUUGCAAACAUUAAUUUUGAGAUUUAUAACUCAAACAGGCCAAUGUAAGAUUUAAUUGCUUUAGCAAUAACAAUGUCAGCUUUCUAGUUUUAUUGGUCACUCCCUGUUCAAAAUCAAUCCAAGUUCACUUUUUGUGGAGGCAUAUAGAAAUGAUAUAGUAGAUUCUAUAUGGUGGGACACAUGUUUGGAAAUGCGACAUAUGUUUGUGUAAUCUAUUUUGAUGUUUCGUUUUGUUCAACUCAAGCUACAUGACAACUCUAAAUAUCUUAUGUCAAAUAGGCCACACAAAUCUAUAUGUUAGAUAAUACAAUUUUAAAAUUUUAAUCA